CAAAAGGCGAAUUUUCAUUUGCACGUUCCUUCUCUGCUUUUCUCUUUGUUUAUUGAUUAAUUUCAAUUCCUUUUCCCUUCUUGUAGGUCAUUUCUUCCGAUUUAACAAAGAAACUAGCAGUACGAGCAGCCACAAAUAAAAAAUCAGAGA
rnacentral:ribozyme from 16 species